rnacentral:rRNA from 1 species
UUAGUCCCGCAACGAGCGCAACCCUUGUCAUUAGUUGCUACCUUCAGUUGGGGACUCCUAUGAGACUGCCGGUGACAAAACGGAGGAAGGGGGGGAUGACGACCAGUCCUCCUGGGCCUUAUAGGGGGGGGUACACCCCUCGUACAAUGGCUGGUACAAAGGGUUGCCAACCCGCGAGGGGGAGCCAAUCCCAUAAAGCCAGUCGUAGUCCGGAUCGCAGUCUGCAACUCGACUGCGUGAAGACGGAAUCGCUAGUAAUCACGGAUCAGAAUGUCGCGGUGAAUACCUUCCCCGGGCUUGUACACACCGCACGUA